AAGACGAGGAAUCCUCAAGUCUUUGAGAAGAUUUUUUCUGUUGUUUAUUUUUUUUUUGGCGCUGGUGGGAUUUGACUGUUUUGUAUCUAUACUAUCAGGAAUACCAGAGCAGAUUUUUCCAACAUCUCUUUUGUGAUUUAUGCUCUUGGCCCGUACUAUAACUGUUGCUUAUACUCAGAAAAUAACUACCCGAAUUAUGCAGUCGAUCAAUUGCACUGAGACUCUGGCCAAUAAGAAGCAUGCUCAAUCAUUCUUACUACCCUAACCUUUUCAACCCCUUAUAUCAGGAAAACUAUUCAUUGUUGUUUCUUUUUUUCCCAUGAUCGUUUAAGCGUCUUUGAUAGAUUUGUUACAACAUUUUAAGUUGAUUCUUCGUCCUCUUGGGGUUGAUUCAUUCCAUCUUAGGAGUCUUCUUAGAGAGAGUUCCGUGUUUCAAGAUGUUUUUAAAUGUUUUGUCUCUGUCGGUAUUAAGGUCAGUGAACGUUCAUUGCAAAAUGUUAGUCUCUCACCAUUUGCAUAUUACUCUUUAAUAAAAAUCGAUUAUUAUUUU